AAAAAAGGAAACUAACUGUUAUUACAUAUAAUUUAAAAAAAGAAAGAGGAAUUAAAAUAAAUAUCUAAAGCAUUAAAAAGAGACAUAACAAAGAGAUUAAAACUAUUUAUUAAUUCAUGCUAGGGAAAUGCUAUAUUAUUACAUUGAUAUAGUAAAAUUUCCGAGGUAUUUGUUGAAUGAAAUAAAUAAAUCACAGAAACUGUGCAAAAUAUGAUCCUCUACAGAUUAAAACAUGAAACAAAGCAACAUUACACAUGUAAAUGUAUUAAACAUCUGGAAGGACAUAUACCUGAUACAGUGAUUACCACUGGGGGACAGGAUAGACCAUUUGAGAUACUGUUCAGACUGUGUUUUAGCCAUAUUUGUAAUAUUUGUAAUUAUAAAAUACUUGUAAUUAUUUUACCAAGAGAAUAUGUUUAUUUAUCGCUUAACUAAAAACUAAUGUAAAAAGUAAAAAUCAGAACAAAAUAACAAUGUUGAUCAAUUAAUUUGUUAUUAUGAUUGGAUUAUAGAGAUGAUGGAGAGGAUUUAAUGAAACAAUGAGGUUGGAGGGGCAGGCAAGAGUCAGGUAAAGGGUCUUAGAAAAAAGUAUUCAUUUUUGCCAUUAAAGUAAAAUGAGAGCAAUUGAAGAGUGUCAAGUAAGACUUGUGUUUGAAGUCAAUUGGAUGCUAGAGGAUAUGUCUGUACAUGAAUGUAUUUGUAGCAAAGAAGUAAUCUAUAAGCACACCUUAUUUUCCUGACUAAAGUGUAUGUCUUUGAGGACUGAGAAUAUAUUUCGUUCAUUAUGACAUCCCACUACAGCACUUAGUCAAAUGUUUAUUUGUAAGUAAGCAUAUAGCAAAGUAUGUUAAAUCGAAUUUGAAUUGUGUUGUGUCUGAUUAAUAUGCAAGUAAGACAAUUCACAAAGCAUAUAACUUUCCUUAAUUCAUAAGGUAUUGUCAGAGUGGUCUACAUUCUGUGAAUUCUUGAAGAAAAAAUAUUUAAAGUACAAAAAUUAUCAACUAUUAAUUACAAACAAUGCUAAAUAUUGUGGUAAAUUUUCCCAGUAUUAAACACUGUAGUUUAGCAAUGCAAUACUGAUUAAUAGAAAAUGAAGACAUGGUUAAAGCUCUAAGAGAUCUGAAUAUCUCUUUUCAAGUUAUAUGAGACAAAUACUUCAAAAUGUUUCAAUAUAUGUGUCAAAAAUGCUAAUUGUUCUCUAUGGUAUUUGUUUGGCUCUAGCAUGGGACAAUGUAUAAAUCAACUAUUUGAAGUAAUGGGUGCAUAGAUUGAAAUUGUUCCUAUGCUAUAGUUCCUCAUGGCUAAUUUAGACUUCAAUCAGAUUUAAAAGACCAAUGCAUCCUUGAUGCACAACAGCAGUGAUUUUUGUCUUUUAAAACAUUUUGAAUCAAAGAAGAGGUUGCCUAGCAGAGUAAACUACUAAUGAUGAGCCAAGUUAUUUCUGUGGUGAAUUGUCAAUGUUCGUCAGAAGUAACAUGGCAAGAAGCUUCUUACUGUUAGGCUGUCUGUCAUCUACAAGGCUCUCAAAUUAGGCAUUUUUGGAUUUUUACUACAGUAAUGAUCAAAAAGUGUAAGAAUCACUCCACUAAAUCGCACGUAAUCUUGAUGUUUCUGUGUUAAGUUCCUUUUCUUUUAGCCAUAGUCAUGUUCUCUGCUUGAGACUUAAAACAAUUCAUCCAAGUUAGCCAGAGCUGCAGAGGAACUUAUGCUCAGAGGUCCUGCCAUCCUCCUUUGAGAUCUUCUGAACAUGUUAUAGAUAGUACCAGAAUCCACUUCAUCCCUUUUCCUCUGAUGUCCCCUUAGUAUCUUCAUUUGAACCUUGGUUUGUGAACAAUACACAAAGUGAAUUGCUAGCAGAUGCUCAGCUUGUAGUUCCUGGUAUAAUGUGGCUUUCCAACCUGACUCUGGUAUAGCAUCGCAUGACAGAUAGUAGACCUGGAAGGAAAUAAAAAUAUUUUAUCUCAAAACAU
rnacentral:lncRNA from 10 species